GACGAACGCUGGCGGCGUGCUUAACACAUGCAAGUCGAACGGAAAGGCCCAGCUUGCUGGGUGCUCGAGUGGCGAACGGGUGAGUAACACGUGGGUGCUCUGCCCCUAACUUCGGGAUAAGCUUGGGAAACUGGGUCUAAUACCGGCUAGGACAAUCGUUUAGUGUCGGCUGGGGAAAGUUUUUUCGGUUAGGAAUGAGCCCGCGGCCUAUCAGCUUGUUGGUGGGGUAAUGGCCUACCAAGGCGUCGACGGGUAGCCGGCCUGGGAGGGUGGACGGCCACAUUGGGACUGAGAUACGGCCCAGACUCCUACGGGAGGCAGCAGUGGGGAAUAUUGCACAAUGGGCGCAAGCCUGAUGCAGUGACGCCGCGUGGGGGAUGACGGCCUUCGGGUUGUAAACCUCUUUCGACAGGGACGAAGCUUUGGUGACGGUACCUGUAUAAGAAGCACCGGCUAACUACGUGCCAGCCGCCGCCGUAA
rnacentral:rRNA from 1 species